GGUGCGGCCGCGCCCUGGUGGUUGCAGCAACACUCGUGCUACAAAAGACUAAACGCAGCCAUUAGCAGCCCAGCCCACCAGCAGCAGUACCACAGAUGAAACCUAAUUGCUACAAGCACAAGAGUGGCAGAAAAUUCACCACCGCACGUAUGUAUGUCCCUGGUGCCUGGCUGCUCGCUUGCAAGCACUUGCGAGGUGGGUGGAGGUCAGCAGGCUUCAAAAGCAGUUGAAAACAAAAAGACAGUUCCUUCUUAAAGGAGAUCCAAUAGCAGGCAGUGCUGGGACACGAUCGCGGACACCAUGGUGUGGUUCCAGCUUGCCAGAAUGAAGGUACAGCGGGCAGCACUCAGCAUCGAAAGCAUGCAAGCAGAAGAAAGCCAGGAUAUCCCCUAACGGAGCUGCACAGCUGUGGUUAUUAUCCUGACACUGCAACAUAAGCAAAGCAAACAAAAGUAAUGCUUAAGUGGCAAUGCAAGAAAGAAACUGGAGACUGGAUUCCUCACCACAGCCACUGGAAGGUUUUCAGUCUCCCUCUCACUGGUUCUGCAGGAGCAGUUGUGCAAGCAGUGUUACACACCCCAGCAUGCCUUCCUGCUGGAUCACCACAGCACCAUAAAAUUUAUAAAUCAAUCCUCAGUGCUUCAUCUGGGAAGCACAGGAGAACUGAGCCAUAAGCAGUCAGACCUUUCACACUGUGCAUAUGAAUGUAUGAAUGAGGUCAUGUUUUCAAGGCUUCUACACUCCUGAGAGGUGGUUGCCCCUCCAUGUGACACAGCGGCCUCUUCUCAAUUUUCACUCUACCUUCUCUUUUCAUUACAGAAGGAAAAGAGAGGCAAAAAACCACUGCGUUGCACUUGAUAUGAUAGUGAUGCUCAUAGAGCAACUGCAGCUUAUGUCUCUCCCACAUCUGUCAGCCUCAGGGUCAUCCAAAACAUGGGAACAGGCAAAAACAAAAGUCCAAGAGGCAGACCCUGACGUUGUGCACUCAGGGAGGUUGCUGUAGCCCAGGGAGACCCGACAGCACCAAGGAAAUGCAGGUGAAAAGAUGGAGACAAAGCAACAUGGAAGUGGGAGGACGUGAGCAGUGAGCAACAGCUGCUUUGGAACAGAGAUGCCUCCACACCUACUCUGUUGAAAGCAAGUCCUUAGAAGUAAAAGCAGAAGAGGAGAAAGGGGGAAAAGCAAUACAAGGACCCAAAAUGUUCCCCCAUUCCUUCACCCCAGGGAGGCAGCCUGGCUACACUGGAACUAUCUAAAAUUCCCACUGUUUCAAAUGGAUGCUUUUUCAGCACCGUUUGUAUAGGCUGAACCAAACUGCCUUGGUGUAUGCUGGAAGCACAGCUCUGACUUCUGAAGCAUCCCAGUAAAUCCACAUCAUGGAACAAGACGCAGGCAGACAAGAGCAGAAGUGGAGUCCUUCCAUGGAGAAAACAGACAAGUGGGAAUUUUAUCCCUGUAAGAACGUUUCAUUCCUGGGUGAAAUUAGCACCAUCUGUUCCAUCUUCACUGCAUUUUUCCUUAGAAGCUCCUGCCUUGUUGCAGAAUCAGCGAGAAGACCAGGGCAAGAGGCAAACAGUUAUCAGUUUUUUUAACACCACUUCAGCUACUUCUCCACUCAGAAGGGCUGUCCAUGCAAUUGAGUAACAC
ensembl:lncRNA